rnacentral:lncRNA from 1 species
CUUUUAAAAUCAAUUUCAUAACCAUGACUUUUAACAUUCAAUCUAUUUAUAUUUUUUUUCUACAGUCAUGGUGUUUAUUGCAAGAAGUUUAAUGUGAAAGAAAUACAUAUUAUUUUUUUAUUUUAUCUGGAUUAUAUACUAGUGUGAAUUUUUAUCAUAUUUUAUAUAACAAAUUAUUAAGCUUUUUCACUUAAUAUAAUUUUACGUGUUUUACAAGGACAAGGGAAUGUCUAAACAUUAUUAAAGUUACUUAAAAGAAAAAGAUAAUAUAAACUUAUGUCAAUUUUGGUCAUUAUAUGAUAAAAUAACCCAUUUGUAAUAAAAUUUACCAAAUGCAUGUACAUUACUUUUUAAACUCACAGCAACCGCAACAACACAAUUUAUCAAACACCAAGUUGCUUUUUUUAAUUAGCUGCUUAUUGCAUCCGCACAACAGAAGCAACUUAUUUGAUCAACAACCGCAAUCCUAAAUAGGCUCUUAAGUAUGAUCGAUCGUUGUUCAUGACAUUUCAAAAAAACAAAUUUGAGCUCAUUGCCUCCUCCUCCCCAAGGUAAAAAUUAUAAGUUAUUUAUAAAUAAACAUUUGACCCGUGCAAUUUGUCUUUUUUUAAAUUUAAUUUAUUUAUCUUUAUUUGACAUGUGUUUUCUUGAUACUAAAAAUUUGCAUAAAAUUACAUCAAUAUUAAUUUUGGUUUGUUGUAUUUGCAGAAAGAAGCUUGGAUAUGUCAAACAAAGUGAGCAGCUAGAUGGUAUAAAGUGACCAUCUAGAUGGUCAACAACAACUUUGUUUGAAGAAGAAUUUGGUAGCAUCAAAUUUGGAAUGAAGAAAAAGAAGAAAGAAGAAGAUGGAAGAAUAGGAUGCCGCCCAAGAAAAUUAAAAUAUAAUAAUGAUUUAAUAGCCAAAACUUUGGCUAUAAAUAGAGAGGCUCCCUCCUCAUUUUAUUCAUUCCAUUUUUCUUAAGUUUCUCUUCUCUGUUUUGUAAAAGAGAAAGAGUUGUGUGAGAGAUUAAGAGUUUUAAUACUCUUGUGUAAUUAAUGGUGAGAGAUUGGGUGUAUUGGAGUUUUGGGUAGUGAGCCAAAAUAUUACAAUACUUGUAAUCCUUAUUUCACUAGUGAAAUAUUUUCAUUCUGUCUUCGCACGUGGACAUAGGUUAAAAGCCGAACCACGUAAUUUCUAGUGUCCUCUUUUGUGCUUGUUCUUUAUUUUCUUCCAAUUUUAUUUUAGCUGCGUGUCUGCUUCACCCACCAAUUUCCAAACAGUAGUAUCAGCGCUAUUGGUUGAAUUUUUUAGAGUCAGGUACUGUUCACGUAAGGGGUACUAUUCACGUAUAUGGCAUUGUUCACGUAUAUGAUACUAUUCACGCAUACGGUACUAUUCACGUGAAACAGUGGGAGCGAUCCAAGAAUUUUGCGAUGCAAAGUAGGGAAUAGUGGUGUGAGUAAAGCAACUGUGUGAUUUUGUAUAUGUCUAGGAAAGUUCUGUCACAAAGACAAUAAGAGCUUAAGGAGUCUGGAUUUUAAGUAGGACCAUUGUGACCCCUCCAGUCUUUCCUGGGAACUUUUCUGGUGUGCAUAUUUACACAUACUCACAACUAUUCAAAGUAAUAUACUAGCUUGUGUACAAUAUUUAUCAACAAAAUGGCGGCAAAAUAUGAAAUUGAGAAGUUUAACAAAAAUAAUUUUUCGUUGUGGAAAAUGAAGAUGAAAGCUGUAUUGAGGAAAAAUAAUUGCUUGGCAACAAUUGGAGAAAGGCCCAUAGAGAUAACUGAUGACAAGUGGAACGAGAUAGAUGGCACCGCCAUUUCUGAUCUACACUUGGCACUUGCAGAUGGAGUAUUAUCCAGUGUGGCAGAGAAAAAUACAGCGAAAGAAAUAUGGGAUACUCUUACAAAAUUGUACUAGGCCAAGUCACUACACAACAAAAUCUUCUUGAAAAGUAAACUUUAUACUCUUCGAAUGACGGAUUCUACAAUAGUGACCAAUCACAUCAAUACCUUGAAAACUCUAUUUUCACAACUCAUAAUGUUGGGUCAUAAUAUAGAGGAGAAUGAACGUGCAGAGCUUCUACUUCAAAGUCUACCAGAUUCGUAUGAUCAACUCAUCAUCAACCUGACGAACAACAAUCCAGCGGACAGUCUAGUUUUCGACGAUGUUGCAGCCUCCGUAUUAAAUGAGGAGAGCAGGCAGAAAAAUAAGAAAAACAGACAAGCAAGUUCGCAACAAGCGGAGGCGCUAUCGGUACCGAGAGGGAGAUCAACGGAAUGUGGCCCCAAUAGGAGUCACAAUCAUGGUAGAUCAAAAUCCAGAAGUAAGAAGAAUGUUAAAUGCUACAAUUGUGGCAAGAAACGGCACGUCAAGAAAGAGUGUUAGAGUAACUAGAAGAGAAAAGAGGGCAAAGAACCUGAGUCAUCAAAUACUCAAGGGUGUGUAACAAGUACUUCGGAUGAUGGCAAAAUUCUUUACAGCGAGACAACAACUAUUUUAGAAGGCAGAAAACGAUUAUCUGAUGUCUGGCUUAUAGACUUAGGAGCUACCUGGCACAUGACUUCUAGGAGAGAAUGGUUCCACAUAUAUGAACCUAUCUCAAGAGGAUCUGUAUAUAUGGGUAAUGAUCAUGCCUUGGAGAUCGCUGGUAUUGGUACUAUCAAAGUAAAAUUAUUUGAUAGUAUAAUUCGCACAAUUGGGGAGGUACGACGUGUCAACGGCCUGAAGAAAAAUCUAUUGUCUUUGGGACAAAUGGAUAGUCAUGGGUACAAAACUCAUGUGGAGAAUGAAAUUAUAAAGAUUGUUAAAUGAGCGCUUGUAUUGAUGAAGGCAGAAAGGAUCAGUGCUAAUCUAUUCAUGCUUAAAGGAGAAACACUACAUGAGGCUGAUGCAUGUGUCGCAUCAAAUGGAGAAGAGUCAACGAUGAUAUGGCAUCUCAAACUUGGCCACAUGUCAGAACAAGGUUUAAAGAUUCUCUCUGAGCGAAAAUUGAUUCCGGGGCUCAAAUCGGUAAGUUUACCAUUUUGCGAGCAUUGUGUUACAAGUAAGCAGUAUAUAUUAAAAUUCAGUAGAUCUAUUGCUACAAGUAAAUGCAUUCUAGACUUGAUUCAUUCUGAUGUUUGGGAAUCACCGAAUAUAUCCAUGGGAGAUGCAAAGUACACGGUGACUUUCAUUGAUGAUUAUUCCAGAAGAUGUUGGGUGUAUCCAAUUAAGAAAAAGUCAAAUAUAUUUUCAGUGUUUAAAGAAUAUGACACAACUUAAAAGUAAUUUUUAACUCCGAAGUAUAAGAGUGUCUUGUUGUAUUAUAACUCGGUGAGUCCGAGGUCGAUCCACAGAGAAAAGAUUUAAUUAGUUUAUUUUAUUUUAUCUAUAAAUUGAAAUUAAAACUUGAAUAUAAACAACUUAAUUUAAAUGAAACUAUGGAAUUGAACUAGUUAGGGUUAUGGAUCCACUCUUAGAAAUAAAUAAAACUUAAUAAAUUCUUUUGGCCAGUUUUUUUUUAGAUUUAUUACCCAAAAGAAUAAUUAUACAAAUUAUUAUUAUUUUCCCUUUAAUUUUAUGACGGAUUAAGUAUUUAUUGUGCCAAAAUUUAAUUUGUCUACAAUAAGUCAAAAUACCAUUUCACCAUGCCUUAUAUUAAGAUCUUAAGAAUUUAUUGUGCCAAAUUCAUUUGAUUGUCUACAAUAAAUCAAAAUUUCAAAAUAUAAAACAUGUAUAAAAUUAAAUAGAAAAUAAUUUAAUUUAUAAAAUUAAAAAUAGAAUUUGAUUAAAUCAUAUUUAUUUCCUAAGAGUUUCACCUUCCCCUAACUAAUAUUAUUUAGUUAAGCAUAAUUAAAAUAAAAAGAAGUAGUAAAAUUGAAUUACUUAUAAUUAAAAGAAAUAAAAACAACUAAAAUUGGAAAUAAAACUAAUUUUAUUAAUGAAAAUAAUUAUACAAAAUAUUGAAAAUACACCUGGAAAUCAAGAUUACAAGGAGAUGGAGAGAAUUUGAGAAGAAGAGAGUUGUAGAGAGAUUAUUAAAAACAUAAAAAUGAGGCUCUAUUUAUAGAAAAAUAAAUUCAUAAUCCAGUGCUUUGCGGUCCAUCAUAAGCUUCAUGCAUGUGCUCCUCACAACCUUUAGAUCAAGAUCCAAUGGCUGGUCAAACUUCAAAAGUCAACAUCACACGUGGCAUCGUUUGACUCGUCCGAUUUGCCCAAAGAACGGUUGAGAUUUGGCGGGUUAAUGGGUGGAUCGGGUCGACCUGAAUACAAAGAUUCGGAUCCUCCAACUUGCUUCACCAACCAUUGCCACGUGGCACAAUCAUGGCCAUUGAAUCAUGAACAGUUGAGAUUUAGUCAAAAUUACCAGCUAUCCCAUGCACUCAUAUCUAUUGUAAGCUCAUUUCAUCGUCCAAUCAGUGCUCGGUCAAUAGAAAAAGUCAACUUUUUUUUACACAAGCCCAAUUUUAAGCCGAUCUUGACUGAUCUUAAGGUUUUUGGACCUCCGGAAUCCAAAUUUGACCUCCGUUUAUUUGUUUGGAGCCUCGAAGUACGUGAAAUUAAUAUUUUUCCUAAUAAACACAUAAAAAUAUACAAAAUUAAAUAUAUUUAAAACAUAAUUCAUAAUUCAUAAUUCAUAAUAUAUUACAUAAACACAAAUAUAAAUUAAAACAUAAGCAUAAAAUAACAUAUUAUCGCUUGAUAAUUAAACAAUUUUUAAUACUAAUCAGAAUACAAAGCGCGGGUGGAACUUGAAUAUGGUAAAAAGAUCAAGUGUUUGAGGACAGAUAAUGGUGGAGAGUAUACAGAGGGCGAGUUUCUUGCUUUCUGUAAGCAAGAUUGUAUUCAGAGGUAGUUCACGGUGGCAUACACUCCUCAAAAAAAUGGAGUGGCAGAGUGGAUUAAUAAAACUCUUACAGAACGAAUAAGAGCUAUGUUGAGGAUUGCUGGUCUACCCAAUUUAUUCUGGACAGAAGCAGCCAAAACUACCUGUUAUAUAGUAAAUCGAUCGCCAUCUACAGCUAUUGGGCUGAAGACAACGAUAGAGAUGUGGACUGGAAAGCCAGCUGAUUAUUCCUACCUACAUGCAUUUGGAUGUCAUGUGUACGAGAUGUGCAAUACCCAAGAAAGAACAAAGUUGGAUGCAAAAUCUAGAAGAUGUAUCUUCUUGGGGUAUACUGAUGGAGUAAAGGGGUAUCGUCUGUGGGACCCCACUGCCCACAAGAUCGUCAUCAGCAAAGAUGUUAUCUUUAUAGAAGAUCAAGUGCAAAGGAGAGAUGUUGAUGAUAGCAGUGUAAAAGAAAAGUUAGAGACUAUACCGGUAUAUGUAGAAAAUAAUCCAAAAGAUUUAAAUUCUUCUAAAGCAACACCAGAGCACGAAGAACAAGAACCAGUCGAGUUUGAGGCUCCAAAAGUUAGUCGGUCAACUCGUGAGAGACGACCGCCAACGUGGCACUCGAAGUAUGUCACUGAGAUCAAUGUUGCGUACUGUCUUCUAACUGAGGAUGGAGAGCCAUCAACUUUCCAUGAAGCUUUAAACAGCUCAGAUGUUUCUUUGUGGAUGACAGCAAUGCAGGAAGAAAUUGAAGCUCUACACAAGAACAAGACAUGGGAACUUGUACCACUACCACAUGGAAGAAAAGCCAAUGGAAACAAAUGGGUUUACAAGAUCAAACGUAAUGGCAAUAACUAAGUGGAGCGGUAUCGUGCAAGAUUGGCGGUGAAAGAAUAUGCUCAGAAAGAAGGUAUUGACUUCAACGAGAUAUUUUCUCCGGUGGUUCGACUUACAACAGUCAGAGUAGUCUUGGCGAUGUGUGCUACAUUUGACUUACAUCUUGAGUAGUUAGAUGUGAAAACUGCAUUUCUUCAUGGAGAACUUGAAGAAGAAAUAUAUAUGCUCCAACCAGAAGGUUUUGCAGAAAUAGGAAAGGAAAACUUGGUUUGCAGGUUGAACAAAUCUCUAUACGGUCUCAAACAGGCGCCGAGGUGUUGGUAUAAGAGAUUUGAUUCAUUCAUCAUGAGCCUUGAAUACAACAGACUCAGUUCAGACCAUUGUGCAUAUAAAAAAAAAUUUGAAGAUAAUGAUUUCAUUAUUUUGUUGUUAUAUGUGGAUGACAUGUUGGUAGUAGGCCCCAACAAAGAUCGAAUCCAAGAAUUGAAGGCACAGUUGGCUAGGGAGUUUGAAAUGAAGGACUUGUGACCAGCAAACAAGAUUUUAGGGAUGUAAAUUCACCGAGACAUAAAUAACAGGAAGAUUUGGCUUUCUCAGAAGAACUACUUGAAGAAAAUCUUGCGACGUUUCAACAUGCACGAUUGUAAGCCAAUUUAUAUCCCACUUCCUGUUAAUUUCAAGUUAUCCUCAAGUAUGUGUCCUAGCAAUGAAGCGGAGAGGAAGGAGAUGUCUCGAGUACCGUAUGCAUCAGCAGUGAGAAGUUUGAUGUUCGCUAUGAUAUGUACAAGACCAGACAUUGCACAAGCAGUGGGAGCAGUCAGUCGAUACAUGGCAAAUCCUGGUGGAGAGCAUUGGAUAGUUGUGAAGAGGAUUUUGAGAUACAUCAGAGGAACCUCAGAUGUUGCAUUAUGUUAUGGAGGAUCAGAGUUUACUGUCAGGGGCUAUGUGGAUUCAGAUUUUGCAGGAGACCUUAAUAAAAGGAAAUCUACUACUGGCUGUGUGUUUACACUUGCGGGAGCAGCUAUAAGUUGGGUUUCAAAACUGCAAACAGUUGUGGCUUUAUCUACAACAGAAGCAGAAUACAUGGCAGCUGUACAAGCUUGCAAGGAAGCUAUUUGGAUACAAAGAUUAUUGGAGGAACUCGGGCAUAAACAAGAGAAAAAUUUUUGUGUUUUGUGACAGUCAGAGUGCUUUGCAUAUUGCAAGGAAUCCAGUUUUUCAUUCCAGGACAAAGCACAUAGGGGUACAGUAUCGCUUCGUUCGAGAAGUAGUGGAAGACGGAAGUGUGGAUUUAUAGAAAAUCCAUACGAAGGAGAACCUAACAAAUGUUUUGACCAAGCCGAUAAAUACUGAUAAGUUUGUCUGGAGUAGAUCCUCUUAUGACCUAGUAGAAACGUAGGCAACAUGACAAUGGCGAAGCAGAAAGGAUGAUGUGGAGAUUGAUUGAUUCUCAAUCAAAUCUCCAAGUGGGAGAAAUGUCAAACAAAGUGGGCAUCUAGAUAGCAUAAAGUGGCCAUUUAGAUGGUCAAUAACAACUUUGUUUGAAGAAGAAUUUGGCAGCAGCAAAUUUGGAAUGAAGAAAAAGAAGAAAGAAGAAGAUGAAAGAUUAGAAUGCCGCCCAAGAAAAUUAAAAUAUAAUAAUAAUUUAAUAGCCAAAACUUUGGCUAUAAAUAGAGAGGCUCCCUCCUCAUUUUAUUCAUUCCAUUUUUCUUAAGUUUCUCUUCUCUGUUUUGUAAAAGAGAAAGAGUUGUGUGAGAGAUUAAGAGUUUUAAUACUCUUGUGUAAUUAGUGAGUGAAAGAUUGGAUGUAUUGGGGUUUUGGGUAGUGAGCCAAAAUAUUACAAUACUUGUAAUCCUUAUUUCACUAGUGAAAUAUUUUCUUUCUGUCUUCGCCCAUGAACAUAGGUUAAAAGUUAAACCACGUAAUUUCUGGUGUCCUCUUUUGUACUUAUUCUUUAUUUUCUUCUAAUUUUAUUUUAACUGCGUGUCUGCGUCACUCACCAAUUUCCUAACAGGAUAGAUAAACAAGAUAAUGUCGCCAUCCAAGCACAUCUCGGAGUAGAAAAUGAGAUGAGCUGAGAUUGGAUGCUCUUGCAGAACUACAUAUUAAAAUGCAAUUUCGGCUCAAUUACAACAAGAACAAGAGGGACUUCAAGUGCCGGGAGAAUCCAAUUAAUGCAUGCAUGCGUGCAUGCAUUGCCCAUGCUACAAACUCAAAUUGAAAUUAGCAAGAUUUCAGCUCAACUUGUUGAAAAAAGGGCAAUAUUAGUUUUUCACUUUUGUUUUAACUAAUAUGUUAUGUAUGGCUUUCAAUGUAAUUAAAUUAUUUUUUGGUUUAUGAGAAUUCAUCUCCCGAUUCUUGUCAUUAUCGAACGUUGUUAGAAAAAUCUUUGAAGAGCUUUGAAUGAGAUCCAUUUUACUCCAUUCACAAAUAAAAAUUAAAAACAAAAGUUUUAUAUCUAAAAUCAAUUAAAAACCAAAGUUGUAUUUCUUUUCGGAAAUUUUAUUUUCCUUUAUUUUAUUUUUGUCAUUAAGAAUAGAACAUUAACUAAAUGAAAAAAUUCAAUAUUGUUACGCUAACUAGAUUUCCUUUUUUGUUCUGAUAAAUAAAUUCCUUUCACAUUGACAUGUCGUUUAAGAUUUGCUAAAAGAAGAAACAAUAAAUUUAAAGUAAAGUUAAUCUAUUG